rnacentral:rRNA from 1 species
GAUGAACGCUAGCGGCAGGCCUAACACAUGCAAGUCGAGGGGUAACAGCAAAGCUUGCUUUGGCUGACGACCGGCGCACGGGUGCGUAACGCGUAUACAAUUUGCCUUGUACUGGAGGAUAGCCCGGAGAAAUCCGGAUUAAUACUCCAUAGUAUUAUUAAUUCGCAUGUUUUAAUAAUUAAAGCUUCGGUGGUACAAGAUGAGUAUGCGUCCUAUUAGUUUGUUGGUAAGGUAACGGCUUACCAAGACUACGAUAGGUAGGGGGCCUGAGAGGGUUAUCCCCCACACUGGUACUGAGACACGGACCAGACUCCUACGGGAGGCAGCAGUGAGGAAUAUUGGGCAAUGGAGGCAACUCUGACCCAGCCAUGCCGCGUGAAGGAAGAAGGUCCUACGGAUUGUAAACUUCUUUUAUUUGGGAAGAAACUUCUCUACGUGUAGAGAACUGACGGUACCAAACGAAUAAGCACCGGCUAACUCCGUGCCAGCCGCCGCAGUAAAAC